CCUACGGGUGGCUGCAGUGGGGGAUAUUGCACAAUGGUGGGAACCCUGAUGCAGCGACGCCGCGUGAGCGAAGAAGUACCUCGGUAUGUAAAGCUCUAUCAGCAGGGAAGAAAAUGACGGUACCUGACUAAGAAGCCCCGGCUCAGUACGUACCACGAGCCGCGGUAAUACGUAUGGGGCAAGCGUAAUCCGGAUUUACUGGGUGUAAAGGGGGCGCAGGCGGCCUGCCAAGUCUGGUGUGAAACCCCGGGGCCCAACCCCGGGCCUGCAUUGGAAACUGGCGGGCUGGAGUGUGGGAGGGGCAGGCGGAAUGCGCGGUGUAGCGGUGAAAUGCGUAGAUAUUAGGAGGAACACCGGUGGCGAAGGCGGCAUGCUGGAC
rnacentral:rRNA from 1 species